GCUGUGAUGGCCGAGUGGUUAAGGCGUUGGAGUUGAAAUCCAAUAGGGUUCCCCUGCGCAGGUUCGCAAUCCUGGUCACAGCG